rnacentral:rRNA from 1 species
GACGAACGCUGGCGGCGUGCUUAACACAUGCAAGUCGAGCGGUAAGGCCCUUUCGGGGGUACGACGAGCGGCGAACGGGUGAGUAACACGUGGGUGACCUGCCCUCAGCUCUGGGAUAAGCCUGGGAAACUGGGUCUAAUACUGGAUAUGACUCCACGGUGCAUGUCGUGGGGUGGAAAGCCUUGUGCGGCUGAGGAUGGGCCCGGCGGCCUAUCAGCUUGUUGGUGGGGUGANGGCCUACCAAGGCGACGACGGGUAGCCGGCCUGAGAGGGCGACCGGCCACACUGGGACUGAGACACGGCCCAGACUCCUACGGGAGGGCAGCGAGUGGGGAAUCUUGCGCAAUGGGCGAAAGCCUGACGCAGCGACGCCGCGUGA